rnacentral:misc_RNA from 1 species
GAAGCACUCGUUCGGCUUGGCGUCUCGACGAGUUCCGCUUUAAAGAUAACGAAGCGAGUUCUUCGCGGAAUAAAGGUACGUAAUCGCUGCGGCACCUGUCGAGUGUUUGUCGAGACUGUCUCAGCUAGGGCGACGGGAGCGACAGGUGGCUUCGUUCUCUCCUUUCCCUCUUUUCUCUCUCCCCCAGCCCACGUUGACCUCCCCCCUUUUCUUCUUCCCCUCAUACUUUCUGUCUCACGACACUGUGUCUACCUUUCUCGCGGUAUUACCCUCAUCCGUCUUUUUCUCCCGUCUCCCUAGCUUCCGAGGCCGCGACUCCACCACUCGCUCGGGGGUGUGAUUUAAAGUGUAAACUUAAAUAUUCCAGUCGGCGCCGCCGUGCAAAUAGAUUCGAUAUUAAUGGAGCUUCCACGUCUUGAAAACCGGGACCGAGGAGGUAAGAAAACUCGUGCGGACGAUUCACACCCUCCAUGCGAGAAAAUCAGGGUUUACUCUCUAGGACGCUUCUGGCGUUCUUUUUUUGUCGUACGGGGGAAAAUACGACGCUGACGGCUGCUGAGUGAUCCAUGGAUACCUCGAGGGAGAUUCCUCGGGAGUCUCCAAGUUUUUGUGCCAACCUACCGUCGUAAUCUAUGAAAUUUCUGAACGACCGACGGCUGCUGCUAAUGGCCGACGGAACUCGAGCCACGGACUUCUCACGGACAACGUAUAUAUACACCUAUUCGAUUCUUGAAUGUGUAACGCGUCUCUACACCCACGUCAGACACGUACAAAGGCGUUUUAGGGGUAAGGUGAUCGAGGGGUAAGCACGUGAGUAGAAGGUAUAGACGAGAACAAGAUGGGAACACAAACGACUGUGAGCGUUACGGAACGACUAACACCGAAAAGCUUCUUUCCGAGCGCACGGGUCUUGCCCUCGCGUCUCCAAGUUGUAGGCUAAAACUUUUAUGAUUUUGUUCGUGCCGGAUGUGCAGCUUGGAAUAAGCAGAGGAAAGCGAACUGCUAGAUGGACCGUAAGAAGUAAAGAAAGAAAGAUAGAAAGAGAAAA